CGGGGCUUCGCGUUCCAGGCGGGACAGUCAUUGUCUACCUACAUUUAAACAGCUGUAACCCCGCCCCAAGCACUGGCUCUGUACGCCCAUUGUCCAGGAACCGGCCAAUGGGGGCGGGGGUGCCUGCGGGCCAGACCUGCUGCUGGCCGCUUCCGGGGUGCAGCACAGUCCGCGGUGCCAGGACAAGCAAGAAGCCUACCUUAGCCCCCCAGCUGACUGGGAGCCACCUGAGGAAGCCCUGCAGUUACCUUUGACAACAGACGCAGCAUUGUCAGAUGGAGAUGCAAUUUGAGAUGAGUCACUCUCAGAGCUUCUUU